rnacentral:rRNA from 1 species
CCUACGGGGGCAGCAGUGGGGAAUAUUGGGCAAUGGGCGCAAGCAUGACCCAGCAACGCCGCGUGAAGGAAGAAGGCUUUCGGGUUGUAAACUUCUUUUCUCAGGGACGAAAAAAGUGACGGUACCUGAGGAAUAAGCCACGGCUAACUACGUGCCAGCAGCCGCGGGAAUACGUAGGUGGCAAGCGUUAUCCGGAUUUACUGGGUGUAACGGGCGUGUAGGCGGGGAAGCAAGUCAGAUGUGAAAACCACGGGCUCAACCUGUGGCCUGCAUUUGAAACUGGUUUUCUUGAGUACUGGAGAGGCAGACGGAAUUCCUAGUGUAGCGGUGAAAUGCGUAGAUAUUAGGAGGAACACCAGUGGCGAAGGCGGUCUGCUGGACAGCAACUGACGCUGAGGCGCGAAAGCGUGGGGAGCAAACAGGAUUAGAUACCCCAGUAGUC